GCCACUUUAGCUUAGUGGUAGAGCGUCUACUUUGUAGGCAGAAAGUUGCCAGUGCAAUCCUGGCAAGUGGCU
rnacentral:tRNA from 1 species